rnacentral:rRNA from 1 species
GUUGAACGCUGGCGGCGUGCUUAACACAUGCAAGUCGAGCGAACAGACGAGGUUCUUGCUCCUCUGACGUUAGCGACGGACGGGUGAUUAAUACGUGGAUAACCUACCUAUGAGACUGGGAUCACUUCGGGAAACUUGAUCUAAUACCGGAUAAUAUAUUGAACCGCAUGGUUCAAUAGUGAAAGACGGUUUUGCUGUCUCUUAUAGAUAUAUGCUCGUCUGAUUAGCUAGGUGGUAAGGUAACGGCCUACCAAGGCAACGAUGCGUCGCCGACCUGAGAGGCUGGUCGGCGGCACGGGGAGUGAGACACGGCCCAGAGUCCUACGGGAGGCAGCAGUGGGGAAUGGGAGGCAAUGGGCGAAAGCCUGACACAGUAAUGGGGAGUGAGAGAUGAAGGCCUUCGGGGUGUAAAGCACUGUUGGCGGGAACAAAAAGAAGUGUGCCAAGAAGAAGAGACGAUGACGGUACCUGCAGAAUAAGCGCCGGCUAACUACGUG